GACGAACGCUGGCGGCGUGCUUAACACAUGCAAGUCGAACGGAAAGGCCCUGCUUUUGUGGGGUGCUCGAGUGGCGAACGGGUGAGUAACACGUGAGUAACCUGCCCUUGACUUUGGGAUAACUUCAGGAAACUGGGGCUAAUACCGGAUAGGAGCUCCUGCUGCAUGGUGGGGGUUGGAAAGUUUCGGCGGUUGGGGAUGGACUCGCGGCUUAUCAGCUUGUUGGUGGGGUAGUGGCUUACCAAGGCUUUGACGGGUAGCCGGCCUGAGAGGGUGACCGGCCACAUUGGGACUGAGAUACGGCCCAGAGUCCUACGGGAGGCAGCAGUGGGGAAUAUUGCACAAUGGGAGGAAGCCUGAUGCAGCAACGCCGCGUGCGGGAUGACGGCCUUCGGGUUGUAAACCGCUUUAGCCUGUGACGAAGCGUGAGUGACGGUAAUGGGUAAAGAAGCACCGGCUAACUACGUG
rnacentral:rRNA from 1 species